AACUCAAAUUAUCAUAGAUAAAACAUAAUAUAGAGAGUUAUUACAGUCUAUUGUAGUUAUUAUAGUAAAGUAAUACAGAAAUAACAGGCAGUGGCUACUAUUUUCAGGGCUGAGGCACAGCCUCCAACAAAGGAACAAAUUGGCAAGAUCUCCUUCCCCCCCUGCCAACUGGACCUCAUUGCAGAGGGUGCAACUCUGGCCCUGGGUGGUAGAGAAGUUUGCUGAGAUGCCAGAGGCCAAAGUUGACAAGCAGGAUUCUCAGUGAGGUACCUGUUAGCCUUACUGAGGAGCUGCUUAUAAGGAUAACACUUUUGGAAUCUGUUGAGGUGAAUGCCACAGGCUGCCUUAUUUGCAGCUGGAACUUGAUAUUGAGGAAAAUAGAAGCACUCCAGAUUCAAGUCCCUUUAUCCUGCAGUGUCCCUCCAGUGCCAUCUACUGACAAAGCUUAAAUAUUGUGCCAGCUGGCAAAGGAGAAAUAUUUGCAGCAUUCAGAAAGUCUGUGAAAAAUGAAUUCGAAGCUGAAAAGCAAUGAAGUGACAAGCAGCAUGUAUAAAAUCUGGAAGGAUUAUAUAUAGAUCAAUGGACAGAUAGAUAGAUAUGUAGAGAUAGAAAAUAUCUUGGCAUAUGGAAACAAAAUACUAUAUAAUAUUAUCAAUGAUAUAUUAUUCAGUACAGACAAUUAAUAGGCUGGUACAAAUGUUAUUUUUAUUCUGACAAUUUUAAAAUAAAUGAUAAAUUGAUUAGGACAUUAGUGACAUUUUCUAUGAAACAAAAUGAACAUCAUUAGAAAAAAAUAGAAUAUACUAGGUUCUGCAUAUGACUGGGAAAAUAAAAAUAUUUUAGACUCUUUCAAGAAUCUCCAACUCACUAAAUUAAUGCAAAUUAAAAGAGCCAACCUGUAUUUUCCCUACCAAAAUUGCUUUUUUCCCCCUUAAAGACUAAAUCUGAAAGCAUAGAUCCAAGUGCAAUUAAUUUUCUGAAAAAAAUAUUUUAAACAGAUACUAUUAAAUUCUAAGAGUUGCUUAGAAUGUAAGCCUCUUUGCAUUGUCCAGCCAUAUCCUACUAAUACAGUAGUUCUCAAAAUAUGGUCAUGAUACCAGAAACAUCAAUUUCACCUGGGAACUUUCUGGAAAAUGAGUUCUCAGGCUCUACCCUAAACCUAUUGAAUGAGAAGUUCCGACAUUUAGACACAGUCAUUUUGUUUCCAGACUAUGUUUAGGUGAUUCUGAUGUAUGGUGAUAUUUGAGGACUGAUGAUAAGUGUUGCUAGCAUAAUUUUUCUUAAUAACUGCUCCUGAUUUAUAAAACAAUAAAUGAACAUCUCUUUUUAGAUGUCUACUUGAGUAUGCUUUAUUUUGAAGACUACUUCUUCUAGUGAGUUCCCCAUUCACUCUGUCCUGACAGUUGACUAAACAGAUUGUGACUAUUGCUGUUGUCUGAAAGUUAUUAUGUAUAGAAAUUAAUAAUAAAAUAAUUUAACCUUCUUCUUUCAAAAUAGUUUAGUUUAAAUAUUUGGUGCUGCAGGUAUUUUAAUUAUUUUCCAUUUGGAGUACUGAAGCAAAUAUCAGUAUCAAACAGCUAAUCUACCUAUAAUGUGUUUAAAUUGAGCAUUCAUGUGAAUUAUAUUUGUUUUCUGCCCCCUCCCCAAAUUCUUAUCCUCUUCAGAGAUUUCUCUGCAUCAGAGAAGUAUCAUCCUACUGAAAAAUAUUUAUUUUUAGUUGGUAAUCAAAUAGAUGUAAAAUCCUUUAGGGUAAUGGCACCAAGUUACUGAAAGUAGAUAUUCCUAAAAUGGAUUCUCUAUUCUAGAUUGCUUUUCUUUUUCUCCAACAUCCAUUUCUUAAUUUGAAAUAUUUUAUACUUUUGGUGGGAGGCUACAAGAUUCCUGGUAGUUUUGCUAUUUAUACAUGUAGUCUCAGGAAUUAUAUUCAAAUUGAAUCUAAUGUCAUACUAAUGUGUUCAAGAAUCUUUGUAUCUAUGUAGUAUCUGGUUACAAGCAAAGUACUACUGUCCCUAGGUUUAUAUCAUUCUCCGUGUUUAAGAUAUAAACAGAAGAACAGACCAAGUCAACCCCCAGAUUUGAGAUGAUGCAUCUUUUUUUGGUAUAAUCUACGUUUCAUUUAUGUAAAUUUUGCUUACAUGGCUUAAAUGGUUCGUCUGCUUAGCAGAAUCUUCAAACAUGGUCUCCAUUUAUUUUGUUUUAAUGCAAGAAUCUUCUGAUCUUUCAAGUCAUGUCUAAGGUAAACCUUACACCUGAAGAAUUCCUAAACUCAUUGAGCAUGUAGAUGCCCAACUACAUGACUUCCACUUUCUUAUAGAAUGCCAGCUUCAGAAGGCAUAAACAGUAUAUUCUGAGACAUAAGAGCAAGAUCCCAAAAGAAUAGUGUUCUCAAUCUUUUAUGACAUUAUCACCUGUUUAAGGGAACCAAUUAGUUACUUCAACAAAUAACCAAAUUAAGGAUUUAUUUCAUUUAUGAGUAUGUUUCUCUUUACAUAUGUUACAUAUGUAACAUGUAUGCCAUGUGCCAGAAAAUAUGCUUAAUGAUUUAUAAAUAUUAUUUUAUUUGGUAACAACCCAAUUAUUAAGUAUUUUAUAAAUAAGAAAACUGAAGAACAGAGAGAUUAAGCAAUUUGCAAAAACUUACAGAGCUAACAGGGUGGAGAUGUGAUAAGAACCUCAAUCUGAGUGUUUCAGAGCUCAUACUAUUUUAACAGCUUUUGAGGUAUAAUUGAUAUUUUUUAAUGUAUAUAACUUGAGGACUUUGGACAUAUGAAUAUACCAUUAUACUAUCAUCAUAAUCAGUGUAAUAAACAUGUCUAUUACCUCCAAAAGUGCCUUUGUGGCCCACCCACUUUGUGGUUAAGACAGCUUAACACAACAUCUACUCUCUUACCAAAAAUUUAAAUACACAAUACUUUAUAGAUAGCUAUGUUCUACAGCAGAUCUCUUGAAAUUAUUAAUCUUGCAUAACUAGAUCUCAAAACCCAUUAGACAACUCUUAUUUUCUCUUUCCUCCAGCCCCUGACAAUUACCAUUCUGUUCUCUGCUUCAAUUAGUCUAUUUCAAAUACCUCACAAAGUGAAAUCAUACAGUAUUUGUCCUGAGACUGGCUUAUUUCACUUAAUAUAAUGUCCUUCUGUUUACCAUGUUGUUGCUAUGGGUUAAGUUUCUUUCUUUUUUAAAACUGAAUAAUUUUUCAUUGAUCAUAGUGCGUAUUUGAGAAUAAAAAUAUAAAGAGAUAAAUUUUCCCAGAAAUAUGAUUAUCAUCAACUAGAACUAGAACCAACCCACAGCUGUUGUUGCCACAUAAAUUACUGCUAUGAAAUUCUUCCAUAGAAGAGCCUAAUUUGUAUGGCAUUUCACCAUGCCUGGUGUUAACAUUUAUGAUUUUUUUUUUCAUUUGCAUUUUUGCUACCCUGGACUUCAGCAUAUAUUUUAAUUUUCAUUUCCUCCUAUGUGGCCAGGUUUGUGGGAAGUUCCCAUACUGAUGAAAUGUCUUGAUGAUUUCCCUCAAUCUUCAUGCCUGUUUCCGCCCUCCCCAAGUACUUAUUUAAGCUAUGUAUUUUAUCUGAAAUUUGUGAUAUUUAAAAGUGGGAUUUUAAGGAUGGAUAUCAAUAGCUGUAGACAGAGAUCUAUUUGAGUUUGGACAAGGAGGUCAUUUAGAGAUGUGACAUAGGUUCCAUGGAGAUGAACAGAGGGAUACAAAUAUCUCUACUUGUUAGUGGCAUAGGUAAUUUUAUCAUUUAAAAGAGAGAGACUGAUUAGCAUCUUUACAUUUAUAUAUUAUGCAUCUACACAAAAGAAUGUAUUUAUUAAUUUAAUUUAUUAAUAAGAACUUUGAAUAAAAGUUUUUAUAUGAAACAAGAAAGGUGCACAAUUUACCUAAAGAAUAAUACUGCAUAUGGAUAUUAUGUCCCUGAUAAGGGAUGUAAAAAUAUCUGUGAUUGUCAGUGUGCUUUAACAACAGUAAAAUGUUGGGAUGACAACAUUGAUGAAGAACACAGAUUGGAGAAAGACUUUACCAUACAUGUUUUAUAUAUAUGUUUGUUUAACUCGUGAAUUAUUUUAGAAGUUUAAAAAAAAUUAAUAUAUAUGGAAGAACAAUUCCAAGGAAGAUAAUUCAAUUCAGUAAAAAACAAUACAAAGGGAAGGGUUAGUUUUUCAGAUAUGGACUACUACAAAAUUAUAGCAAUAAAGUGAGCAUGAUACGGAAGAAGAAAAAGAAAACAAGUACAAUUUAAUAAAAUACUGAAUCUAGAAACAGAGCAAUUUUAGCUGGACAAAUUUUUGCAAAGUGAACACACCUCUGUUACUUUAGGACUAAUCAAGGACAUGUUGGCAU
rnacentral:lncRNA from 1 species